rnacentral:rRNA from 2 species
GAGACACGCUGUGAAUUGAAACAUCUCAGUAGCAGCAGGAAGAGAAAAUAAAGAAUGAUUCCCCUAGUAGUGGCGAGCGAACGGGGAAAAGCCUAAACCAACACUUGUUGUUGGGGUUGUAGGACUACUUAAUGAAGUUUGACAAAUAUUUACAUAUAGCAGAAUGAGUUGGAAUGCUUUAACAUAGAGGGUGAAAUUCCCGUAAGCGAAAUGUGUAAAUCUUCUAGUAGUAUCCUGAGUAGGGCGGGGCACGUGAAACCCUGUCUGAAUCCGCCGGGACCACCCGGUAAGGCUAAAUACUAACCAGACACCGAUAGUGAACUAGUACCGUGAGGGAAAGGUGAAAAGAGCCCAGAGAUGG